GACGCUGGCGGCAGGCUACACUGCAAGUCGAACGGUAACAGGAUAGCUUGCUAUCGCUGACAGAGUGGCGGACGGGUGAGUAAUACUUAGGGAUCUGCCUCUGUGUGGGGGAUAACUAUUGGAAACGAUAGCUAAUACCGCAUAAUGUCUACGGACCAAAGCGGGCUUCGGCUCGUGCGCAGAGAGGAACCUAAGCGAGAUUAGCUAGUUGGUGAGGUAAAGGCUCACCAAGGCGACGAUCUCUAGCUGUUCUGAGAGGAAGAUCAGCCACACUGGAACUGAGACACGGUCCAGACUCCUACGGGAGGCAGCAGUGGGGAAUAUUGCACAAUGGGGGAAACCCUGAUGCAGCCAUGCCGCGUGUGUGAAGAAGGCCUUCGGGUUGUAAAGCACUUUCAGUUGUGAGGAAAGUUUAGUAGUUAAUACCUGCUAGAUGUGACGUUAGCAACAGAAGAAGCACCGGCUAACUCCGUGCCAGCAGCCGCGGUAAUACGGAGGGUGCGAGCGUUAAUCGGAAUUACUGGGCGUAAAGCGCACAGCAGGCGGUCUGUUAAGCUAGAUGUGAAAGCCCCGCGCUCAACGUGGGAGGGUCAUUUAGAACUGGCAGACUAGAGUCUUGGAGAGGGGAGUGGAA
rnacentral:rRNA from 1 species